rnacentral:lncRNA from 1 species
UUUUUUCUUUCUUCCCGUUCUUCCUCCUCUCUCUCUCUCUAUAUCUUUUCUUCUCUAACUCACAAAUUGGGUUUUCUCCUUGUAUGUAUAAAAUUUGUCAUGCAAAAAGAUACAUGUUUUAUCCCUCUCUUUAUAUGUAUAUAUACACAUCUCUAUCAACACCAUUAUCAUGCCCACCUUCAGAUCUACACAUUUGCACCAAUAUUUUCUACAGACGUUAUGAAAUUGGUUUCUCUUUCUUUUAAAUUUGUUUUGAUUUAUUUUAAAUGCAUUUAAUAGAGUUUUCUGGUGUUUUUACUGGUGUUUAUCAUCAGAAAUCAUAUAUAUUUUGUCAAUUUAAAAUUUGAUUUCUAUUUGAUUGGUUUGAUAGGUCGGAUCGUGGGUUUGCUAACCUCCUUGUUGCUUUUGGAUUGGUGUUGGAUCUAAUUUGAAGGAAUUUGGAUUUGGAUUUGGAUUUGGAUCUGGGUAGUCGUCGGAUUCUGGAUCUGGGCUGUUAUGUGGGUGAUGGUUGCUUCUACUACUGUUGAUCUGAUCUGGUCUGCCGGCAUGUUCGUCGAUAUUUUGUUGGUUGUGGGCAGCACGUGGGGUCCCUGUCAUUGAUUGGUUGGUUGCUUUUAUUCAGCAGAUCCUUAAUCCAAAAUACUCAACAAUGGCGACAAAGAUGCUUUUUUACAAACCCCUCUCUCUACUUAGAAAAUUGUUGAUUUGAGUUUAGGAAAUGGUGAUUUGUUUAAUUUCUUUACUGUUAUAAUUUUUUUUUUGCCAUUGAAGAUGGAUAUUGUUUUAGUAGUUGAGUAAUUAUUGUACUUGAAUACUAUAAAGUUUGAUUAUUAUUUUUGUUUUAAUUUUGUUACCACUAUUGCAUUUAUAAAUUAGAUUAAUCCAGAUUUCGUAAAAUGGAUCGGCG